rnacentral:rRNA from 1 species
GGGGAGGAGCCCAGAGUCUGAAUCAGCGCGUGUGUUAGUGGAAGCGUCUGGAAAGUCGCACGAUACAGGGUGAAAGUCCCGUACACAAAAAUGCACACGUUGUGAACUCGAAGAGUAGGGCGGGACACGUGGUAUCCUGUCUGAAUAUGGGGGGACCAUCCUCCAAGGCUAAAUACUCCUGACUGACCGAUAGUGAACCAGUACCGUGAGGGAAAGGCGAAAAGAACCCCGGCGAGGGGAGUGAAAAAGAACCUGAAACCGUGUACGUACAAGCAGUGGGAGCCUCUUUUAUGGGGUGACUGCGUACCUUUUGUAUAAUGGGUCAGCGACUUAUAUUCUGUAGCAAGGUUAACCGUAUAGGGGAGCCGAAGGGAAACCGAGUCUUAACUGGGCGUUAAGUUGCAGGGUAUAGACCCGAAACCCGGUGAUCUAGCCAUGGGCAGGUUGAAGGUUGGGUAACACUAACUGGAGGACCGAACCGACUAAUGUUGAAAAAUUAGCGGAUGACUUGUGGCUGGGGGUGAAAGGCCAAUCAAACCGGGAGAUAGCUGGUUCUCCCCGAAAGCUAUUUAGGUAGCGCCUCGUGAACUCAUCUUCGGGGGUAGAGCACUGUUUCGGCUAGGGGGCCAUCCCGGCUUACCAACCCGAUGCAAACUACGAAUACCGAAGAAUGUUAUCACGGGAGACACACGGCGGGUGCUAACGUCCGUCGUGAAGAGGGAAACAACCCAGACCGCCAGCUAAGGUCCCAAAGUCAUGGUUAAGUGGGAAACGAUGUGGGAAGGCACAGACAGCCAGGAUGUUGGCUUAGAAGCAGCCAUCAUUUAAAGAAAGCGUAAUAGCUCACUGGUCGAGUCGGCCUGCGCGGAAGAUGUAACGGGGCUAAACCAUGCACCGAAGCUGCGGCAGCGAC